CCUAGUCCGCCUUCAUGUUCCAUCUUGUACACCUGGCUCUGCCUUUUAGAUAGCAGUAGCAAAAUUAGUGAAAGUACUAAAAGUCUCUGAUAAGCAGAAAUAAUGGUGUAAGCUGUCUCUCUCUCUUUCUCUCUGUUUGUAUGCUUUAUUUUUGGAACAGCUAUAAGAAAAUAAAUCAUUUCAAUUUUUUAUUUAAUGUUCCAGCUUAUAGACUCUGCCAUAUGAAUCCAUAUCCAAGGUUAUGGAUGCAGGUAAACUGAUCAAGUGUCUGCUGAAAAACAAGAGAAUUUUUAUGCCUAAAAAUUUGGGGGAUGUUCUCUGGGGUUCUGGUGAUAUUAGAGUUCUGAAAUAGAUAUGACCUUUUUUAGAAAGUAUUGGAAAUUUAUGUUUAAAGAAAUUUAUCCCGGUAUUUAAAAUUAUUUUUAAGAUUUUAAGUUUUUUUCUGAAAUGUUUUAAUGUAGGAGGAAGGAAAGUUAGUGCCCCAUUUUAAAAUAAAAGUCUUAGCUGCAGCUAGCAAAAAUACAAUUUAUGUUUUAAGAGU
rnacentral:lncRNA from 1 species